CACGUAGGGCGCAAGCGUUGUCCGGAAUUAUUGGGCGUAAAGAGCUCGUAGGCGGUCCGUCACGUCCGCUGUGAAAACCCAGGGCUCAACCCUGGGCUUGCAGUGGAUACGGGCAGACUAGAGGUAGGUAGGGGAGAAUGGAAUUCCCGGUGUAGCGGUGAAAUGCGUAGAUAUCGAGAGGAACACCUGCGGCGAAGGCGGGUUGCUGGGCCGACACUGACGCUGAUGCGCGAAAGCCAGGGGAGCGAACGGG
rnacentral:rRNA from 1 species